rnacentral:lncRNA from 1 species
UUCAGAAGAAAUGGUAAUGUGAGAAUGAAUAGAUUGUGUGAGAUUAUAUUAACAGAGGGCUAAGCCUAUGUUUAAAUUCAUGUACUUGACUUUUCCCUCCAAUUAGAACUCCACAUGGACUUGUGAAAAAUAAAACAAAAGAACAUUGGAAAGAGUUAUCGGCAUGCAUAUUCUACAAAAUAUAAUACCUGUAAACCAAAACCCUAUAGCCUUGUUUUAUGAGGUUCUCAUGAUAGACAAGACUAGAGGAAACAUCAGAUAUAUAGAAUUCUUGUAAGGUCUUAUUGCAUCUCUCCCAUUCCUUAACGCUUCCCUGAUUCUGAAAAAAAAAAAAAAAAAAAAAAGAUGAGCAAAAUUAAAGUACUGUGAUAUGUUAUGAAAACCUGAAGAUAUCUUUGGAAGGAACUAAUUAAUUGCCUCCUGAAUAUGAAGAGCUUCUUGGACAGUUUUGUCAUUUGCCCAAAUAUAAGAGAGGAGAUAUGCGUAACUCUGCAUUAACACAAGGCAGAUAUGUUGACUCAAAGUUAACAUUUAGUACAACAAACACAAAUGAGUAAGCUACAACCUACAGAUAAGUUACUGCUAUACAGUAUGCAAUGUGUGUGUGUGCCGGCGUGUGCAGAGAGACUUACCCGACACCAUGGCCUACGAAGUUGAGGAAAAGAAAGGAGGAGAUUUACAGAGUCUUUAUUAGUGCGAUCAUCUGCAUACCCCUUUGACUGCGCUGGUUUUGGUGAAUGGACAGUACAUACAGGUUCCAAUAUUUGUACAUCAUUUACGUCUUCGAUACACUGCCAAUCAAAAUAUGAAGUCAGUAUUUUGAUAGUACAUUACUUAAUAGUGACAAGUAGUUGUAGAAACCAAAGAAUUUGUUUACUUUCCACUCACCUCGUUGUAAAGUUCAAGAUCAUCCACACAUAACGUGUUGUUUAGAUCCACAUUGAUAUAAUCUCCCUUGCAGUUUAUUUUCAUUGACUUGCAAAGUAUACAAAUCACAACCACAUUUAAGAAAGACAAUAAAUAAAGUGACUAUGCAAGAUCACCAUAUAACUUGAGGUAAAGAUUUAGUCAGAAUAGUUCAGAAUGAUUUGAAGAGCCAGAAUCUAAUCUCAACAUGAAACUGACAAGAAGCGACAAAAUCAGUGUGUAUUUUCACCUGGUAUAGUUCCUCUGAUAUAAGUGCUUUCAUGUAAGCAAAUAGAACUCUAGAAUUAUCAUCCUUUUCAGAAUCUGUCACUGGAUUGCCAAGCACAUAACCCUGCAGCCAAUAUAUAUGGAACAUUAUUGUCUGCCUACUUUUAAGGCCCACAUGCAUAUGAUCUGCAAUUAAUUAACCAACAAAAUAGAAAUCAUUCAAAUUGUAAUGGCAGAAAAUGUACUUUGAGAUUCAUUGGUGGCGCAUGUUCAUCUUGAUUACCUACAUAAAAGUAAAUAAGCAAAAUAAAAAGAACCUCAAAUCAAUACCUCAUGAUCCACACAACUAAGAAACUAACUAUUUGCAUGUGAGGCUGAAUUAAAGGUUGCACGAUUGACACUUCUCAAUUCCUGGUAGCUGAAGCUGAGAAAAGGCCAAAUUUAAAAGGGUUACCAACUUACCAUCUGAUAUUUCCUGAACGACCAUAGGAACAAUUAUGCCUGAAUAAGAAUCUCCGGCAAUAUAAAGUGGAUUAUUGUAGAACUUGGGAUGAUCCAUAAGCCACUGCACCACAACAGUGAAAACAAAGAUGUAGCUAAACUAGACGCAGGAAAAUAAUGUUCAUUUCCAACAGCCAAUCAUGUCAAUUUUUGAAAAAAACUAUUCUUAAUCACUUGAAAGAUGAUCGCUUGAACUAGACCUUAUGCCGAAACCUCAUAGGCAAGUGCAUCCUCUCACCUUUCUAAGAAAUUCAUAUGUUUGUGCAGCUGAUAUUGUGUCAUUGAGAUUGGCAUAUCCUUCCCAAUUUUUUGUAUAUGAGAAUCCUGUGCCCACAGGUGCAUCCAAAAAUAUUAUGUUGGCAACCUGAAAGUUUUUUUAUCGUUCUUCUCAAUAUCAUAAGAACCUCAAUAACUUGAAGGUUUCCAAUUAAACAAGUACACCUAUAAGGCAGUUGAAGCCUCCCACCUUUGUCCAUGAAUAUGGAUUCAACUUUAGUUUUGGUUUGUUGCCGAUGGAAUGUGCAGAGUCAAAGGAUAAUGGACCUACAACAAAGUAUGGAUUAAAUACUGAGGCUAAUUUUACUAAUUAAAAGUUGAACACAAUAUCUGUGCCAGAUUACAACUAACGCGGAUUAAAAACUAUAGAAUUAUAAAAACAAUAAUAUUAGUGAAAUACACACAAUAUACUAAAAAACAAACCCUUCAUCAAUAAAAUUUGGGUUGAUUUUAAAUUGGGAUGUACUGCUUUUGAUGGGGACCUUCCUCUGUUUUGAGGCUCUUGGGCCAGGCUAGUUGCUCUGUAGUUUCUGCUUUGAACCCAGGUUACCCAAAAAAGUAAAAGGAAAAAAAAAACAGAGAAAACAGAGCACGCACUUUUUAUCUUUCUUCACACUGCCAGUCUCAUCAACUUGACACACCUUUAAUUUCUUUUUAUUUUUCAUUUAUAUUGGGAUUUUCUGGUGGUCUAUCACCAAAGUCAUAAAAAUUCAAAAUAGAAUAAUAUCCUCUGAAAGAUGCAGAGAGUGGAAAAUAUAAUUAGGUACCUAAAUUUUCAUAUACAAUGGCAGAGAAGGCAGAACAACCAGGACCUCCAGUGAGCCAAAGCACAAGAGGAUCAUACUCUGGACUCCCUUCAGACUCAAAGAAGUAAUAAAACAGCUGUACAUCAUCCAUGCUGCCCACUCCCACGUACCUUUAUAUAAUUAAACCAUUUAAAAUAUAUAAUUCACGGUCAUCUUUUGUAUUAAUGUAAAGUACUUAACAGAGUAGAAAAUAAUAGUUGUAAGAACAAAAAUACUAACCCAGUUUCAAGCUUAAAGGGGAGGUCACCGCGAAAGCCAGGAAGGGUUUUGAUGAUAUUGGAUGAUGAUGAUGCAACAUUAAUGUUCAAAAGGGUCACCAGAAGAAGUGAUUGUGGCAACAUGGUGGUGAUGAUGUACUUGCUGCUACGCUUAUCUCAUGACAUACGUAUAUGUGGAGGAUGGCUCCUGUGAAGUUAUGGAACGUGCUAUAAUAUAAUGAAUUUGGUUUUUUUCUUGAGCUAUGAAGUGACUGGAUAGUCUGAACAGUAGGUGAAUCCUCGUGAUCAUCAGCCAAAAAAAUUUGAAUAUAUUUUGAUAUUUUGGGAAUUGUAUUUUUCUUCCGGCUUCUGUCCCUUUCAAAUUCUUCAACUUGUGUAUGUAAGAUUUGUUUAGAAUGAGAGACAAAGAAAGUGUGAUUUUCAACUUGUGUCUUUAAGUUAAAAUAUGGACUGAUAAUUGACGCACCUGGGUUCUUAGAUAUUCUGAAUUUCAACAGGAAAAAAAACACACAGAAGAAGAAGUUGUGAUUUUGGUUCAGCAGAGGACUUAAUCAGAACGAGGUAUGGUGCUUGCUCUCUGCUCAACAUUCCGUGGAGGCAGAAAAUCCAAGUUUUUGUUAGACCACAACUUUUUUUUUAUUUAAUUUAUUUGUGGCAUCCGCAUUGCUUGCAUGUCACAAAAUUGAACUACUUGUCAGCCACAAUAUUUUUGGAUCCAAGUCCAACUAAUGGUCAGACACCCAUUAGUCAACCUACUUCCUCUUCUCUGCUCCUCUCUUUGAUUCAUGCUCAAAGACUUUCACAAAGGAUCAUCCAGAUGAAGAUUUUUUGCAUGAUUUUUGGUUUGUUUACUACAUAACACAUUAACAAUGAAUAUAUAUUAAAUAAUGGUGUGUUUAUAGUACAUAAAACUGAUAUUUGAUUUAUGAUUUCAUAUCAUUCUUUGAAUAAUGGUGUGAACCAAUUGACUUAUUAAUUUUGACUACAGAGGGUAGUAUGCGAACCAACGACUAAUCAUAGCAUGACAUUCUUCAGGUUUGUACUCUGGAGCUGUGUGACCCGCUCCCUGAAAAAUCAAAAAAAUUAGUCAGCUUUUGCUGAAGCAAAUUUUAGUAUGGAAAAUAUUUAAGUUCAUUCUUAAGCUUCUUGCCUUUAUAGUUGCAUAUGUCAACUGGUAUUUUUUGUAUGUGUACUGCACUCUGUAUCUAAAGGCCAAAAAACAGAAGAAGAAAAGAAGGCAUAACUAUGAGAUAAUUGUAAUCUGAUUUUCUGACUAAACUCAACACAAAGUAAGAAAGAAGAUGAGAUAGAUACAAACCCUGCAACCUGUCCGUCGACAAACCAAGGCUUCCAAGGACUGUCAACAGUCAAGUUCAGAGAUUCUAUCCAAGCCAUAGUAGCCACAUAUGGAAUAUCCAUGUCAUGAUCACCACUGUGAAUAUACAAGCUUUGUGUUCAGAAGAAAUGGUAAUGUGAGAAUGAAUAGAUUGUGUGAGAUUCUAUUAACAGAAAGCUAAGCCUAUGUUUGAAUUUAUUAGAACUCCAAAUGGACUUUCUGCUUUGACUAAAACAAAAGAAAAUUGGAAAGAGUUAUCGGCAUGCAUAUUCUACAAAAUAUAAUACCUGUAAACCAAAACUCUAUAGCCUUGUUUUAUGAGGUUCUCAUGAUAGACAAGACUAGAGGAAACAUCAGAUAUAUAUAAUUCUUGUAAGGUCUUAUUGCAUCUCUCCCAUUCCGUAAUGCUUCCCU